rnacentral:rRNA from 1 species
UACAGAGGUCUCAAGCGUUGUUCGGAUUCAUUGGGCGUAAAGGGUGCGUAGGCGGCGCGGUAAGUCGGGUGUGAAAUUUCGGAGCUUAACUCCGAAACUGCAUUCGAUACUGCUCUGCUUGAGUGUGAGAGAGGCGCGUGGAAUUGCAGGUGUAGCGGUGAAAUGCGUAGAUAUCUGCAGGAACACCCGUGGCGAAAGCGGCGCGCUGGAUCACAACUGACGCUGAGGAACGAAAGCUAGGGGAGCAAACAGG